GGGGGGGGGGGGGGGGGGUGUUCCUCUCUGUUCGUCAUGUACAUACGUGUACAUACAUGUACAUACGUGUCACUCUAGCACUCCAGCAGCUUUAUUCCUUGAAGAAUUUUGACCAAACUUCAGACAACGCUAAAGAUUUCACACAAUAAAUAAAGGGGAAUAAUAUCUCAGACAAGUUUGAAUUUCAGAGAAUUUUUGUCCAGGUCACCGUUACUAUUUUUAGCAGGGGGUGGUAGGGGACAUGAAUUGCUUUAGCAAUACCCAUCUAAUGUUUAUGAUUUGCUUUAUAUUUGUAUGACUAUUUCUGACUUAUGUCUUUUUUUAUGUUUUUACUGGUAUUAUUUUUAUUAUUUUACCUCAAUAUCUAUACUAUUUCUUUUUGAAAACAGAUGAUCUUCUAUUAUAAUCAUUAUUAUAAUUAUAAUAAUCAUAGGAUUUUUCUGACUUGAAUUUUAUCAUGAACAGCUGAUCUUAUGUGCUGAGAUGCCUCUUCAAAAACCUCCAGGUCUGAUAUCUUUUGUUCUUUUACAUUUUAUGAUAUAAGUGGCAUUUUUCUGGCAGAUUUUCGUGGUCUGUUUAAUGACAAUAUAUCUGUUAUUUUGUUAACGACUGUGCUUGUGAUUAAACCUACAGACCUUACAGUAUAUUUCUCACUGAAAUGUUAGGAUGUGGAUAUAAUCUGCUAUCAUUAACUGAAAACAAAAUCUCAGGCAAUCUGUUUGUGAUGUCCCAUUGAAAGAUCUUGUAAAACAAGCAGUUGUUAGCUAGCUUAAUACAUGUUAGUGCUGUCUCAUAUGUACAUUUUGUUUUUUGUAUUCAACUAUUAGUAAGUGAUGUCUCGUAUGUAUUCAACUAUCAGUAAGUGAUGUAUCGUAUGUAUUCAACUAUUAGUAAGUGAUGUCUCGUAUGUAUUCAACUAUAUGUAUUAGUAAGUGAUGUCUCAUAUGCAUUCAACUAUUAGCUGUCGCCUAACAUUGUAUACUUUAUAAUGCUACAUGUAUUUAAGUUUAAUAAACUUUUUUUAAGUUUAGACAAAAUUAAGGGGUCAUGCUACCUCAUUCAGUGGAGCAUCAGACCAAAGAACCUCAUAUGAAGAUCAGAUGUGUGUGAUUUGAUCCUACUUGGGUUGAUUUGUGUUUCUCAGGAAGCUGAGGUCACAGACUGCUAUUAUGGUAGUGUCAAGGACACUUCACCUCCAUUCCUCUGGGUUACAUGUAACAUUCCUCCUGUAUAUUGUUCAGUUAGGUACCCACCAGCUACUACAAGUAGACCCUGCCUUCAAAUGACACUGGUUUUUCAGAGGAUAACAACAUAAUUAAAUGUUGAUCAAAGAAUAUGUAUGAUGUUGAUAUUGCAACAGGUUUUAAUUAUUAAUAGUGUACAUAGUGAUCUGGUCAGGUCGCUUCCUAACUUUGUACAAGGGGGAUUUCCCUUUAGCUCAGUUGGUAGAGCGAUGGACCAGUAAACUCAGGGUAUAAAGUUUGAUCUUUGGUGGAGGCACACUACUCUCUUUCCUGUUACAAUACAAUAGGUGUCUAGAUGAUGUAGCUGUGUAUUAUUUUGAUACUAUAAGUGUCUAGAUGAUGUAGCUGUGUAUUAUUUUGAUACUAUAAGUGUCUAGAUGAUGUAGCUGUGAAUGAUUUUGAUACUAUAAGUGUCUAGAUGAUGUAGCUGUGUAUUAUUUUGAUACUAUAAGUGUCUAGAUGAUGUAGCUGUGAAUGAUUUUGAUACUAUAGGUGUCUAGAUGAUGUAGCUGUGUAUUAUUUUGAUACUAUAAGUGUCUAGAUGAUGUAGCUGUGUAUUAUUUUGAUACUAUAAGUGUCUAGAUGAUGUAGCUGUGAAUGAUUUUGAUACUAUAAGUGUCUAGAUGAUGUAGCUGUGUAUUAUUUUGAUACUAUAGGUAUCUAGAUGAUGUAGCUGUGUAUUAUUUUGAUACUAUAAGUGUCUAGAUGAUGUAGCUGUGAAUGAUUUUGAUACUAUAAGUGUCUAGAUGAUGUAGCUGUGUAUUAUUUUGAUACAAUAAGUGUCUAGAUGAUGUACAUGUAGCUGUGUAUAUUUGUAUUUUACCAAUUAUAUAUUCCAUAGCUACUGUGAUAUUUUGUUAGACUAUACAGAAUCUGUCAAGAGUUAAUUAUUUACGUGUGAAUGUCUUGUAUGAGGAUGAUAUCGAUGAGUGUCAAACUUUUUUGUAAUUCUAUAUUAAGGUAUCUUUAAAUUACAUAUUUUUGAGAUUUUAUUUACAUUUGUAUUUAUAGUAUAGUAUACAUUAUACUUAUAAGUGCCUUUAUUUCUAGGUCAUCUGACCUAAAGGGCCGGAAUGAUCAUGUUCUGUCCAUCGCUGUGCAUAACCUUUUCACACUUCUUGUAAAGUUCCACUAAUGUGAUUGAUCUGAAACUUGCUGUGAAUGACCCUAAGAUGGUCUUGUUAUUUGAGCAGGUCUAAAAUCCAAGAUGGCCCCCAUCUUUACCAAGUGUCUUUAUAUUUUGGUCCUGUCUUAUACCCAAGAUUGCCACUUUGGUCGCCAUUUUGAAAACAUAUUUCAAACUUCCAAACCUUAGUGCCGUAGAUCUGGAAAAUUGGUGGAGAUGUUAAGGAAAGGAAACUGACAAAGUGUUCUUAUUUUUCGGCCUCGUCAAAAAUUGAACAUGGCAGGCAUGGUGGCCAUUUUGUAAUACAAAAAUGUAUAUUGUGCAAUCAUGGUUUUCAUAACAACACACAAACUUCUCGAGUUCCACCAGUUGCUACACUGGUAUAUGUACUACUCCAACAAUGUUAGAGGUUUUACACGGCGAGAUACUUUUGACAGGCGCCGUCGCAGUCGGCAAAAUAAUAUCCGAUAGAAAAAGAGCCGACCAGCGGCCUCUUAUGUUAUAGGAGUAGUAUAUGUACAUGCUGUUUUAUAGACAGAUGGCUGUUAAGGCCCAUUAUUUUUUGUUUGUGUGAUCUUUAUGUCUAAUCACAGGCUUGACACUUUCCCUGUGACCCAGGAUGUUGAAAAUAAACCCUUGGUUAAUUUCCAUUCUUGAUCACAGGAAUGUGCCAAGCCCCUGUGUGUCUGAUGGGUACUGAGAUAGCGCUGAAGAUCUCUAUAUUUGUAGUUGAAUGGUUACAAAUCCUUGUGCAAUCUUUGUAUAACAUGUAACAUGCGAGGAAACGUGAAUACUUGUAAUCAGAUUAAAGUCUUCAGAUUUAUGGAUUUGUCAUUUAGGGACAUCUACUACAUACUUCCUAAACAUGACCUUGUAAUAAAUAAAUGAUAUAACAGAGAAUUUUAGUCAGAUUACAAUUGGAUGCAAGAAAUAUUUCAAGCAGGUGGAUUCUGUGUCUGAUGUCAAAGUAUAUGUCUUAUAUUCGUGUAUUUCACCAAAUUAAAAUCACUAAGAUUAUA